AGCUGUUGAAACCUACAAGGAUCAAAUGAAAUCUUCAUCCAGUCUCUCACAAAAAGGAAUCAGAGAUCCAGCAAAUGGAGCAGCAACAGAAACAGAAGAUUUCUGGAGUUCUGGAACAGUCACACAACCUUCAGUCCAAGAUUACAUCCCAGUUUGCUGAACAGCACAAGAUUCUCA